AUUUGGGUCAAAAUUCAUCCCCUGCAUUGCAGUAGCACAGCCUUGGUUUGUACACAGGGUGCUUCCAUCGGGUCUGUAUAUGUGGAACUUCAAGAGCAUUGCAAAUAGACUGCACUGCACUGACCGAGGAACUGUGGGAGGGACCAAACAGUGCAGCUACACCAAGCGCAAGCUGGUCACAUGCUGUGAAAGAGAGAGGAAGGGGAGAAAAGAGCUGUAAAUGAUCUGCAAAGUCAGGGUCUCGAAUAGCAGCGAAGGAUCAAGAGGAACGCCUUGGUCAUGCCCUUGAUACUGGUAUAGCCGAGGUGGAUUCUAGGCUACUGGAGGCUUGACUGUGCUGCUGGGCUGAUCCGCCCACAAUCAGCAAUAGCAGCUUGAGGGUCACGUUGCAUCAGCACUACACCACAAAGCAGCUGCACCACCAUGCUGGAUCCAGACCAAGGAUCUUACAGCAACAUGCACGUAUGCUGUAUAUUUUGUGACCUCUUUAAUAUAAACAGAAAUAUAUUAAGUUACUGGUAACCAUUUAGCAAGAAAGGUAGGAAGGGAAGAUGCUGCAUGUAUGCAAUGUGAGUUAAUGUUGCUAUUGGAGCCUUAACUUUAACACUUCAUGACUUGAAAAAUUUUAACUCUCAUAUUAACAUUGUAUUAACACCAUGGUGGGUCCACCCACAUGAAGCCACUUGGAGGAAUGGGGCCUUAAUGGGAGCAAAACUGGCCCAUUAAACUGUACUCGGGGAUCAUUUUAUCCACUAGUGAAAUGAAGCUGCUUCUGGGGUGAAAAAUUCCAGCUGUUUAACAGCACACACAAAUGCUGCACAACUGUGAAGGAUAAAGAAUGCCGCUAUCGUAUUGAAACUGCAGGGAGAAAUGAAAGUAGGUAGAAUGAGCUUCUGAAGUUGGAAUUUGGUGACAAAACUAGAACUAAUGUCCCUGUUCCUACAAAAAGUUCCAAAAGUGCUCAAGAAAAAUGACACCUCCAGCAACACAGUGCCCACGAGCACUGUGCUGGAGAAUUGGUUCAGCAGUUUCUCAAAGGGGUGAACACUACCUAGUGAAUAAUCACCCACAAUACUUCUUGCAGCAUGUAGGUAAGUGGUUUUGGGGAAAUGUCCCACCCAAAUACUGACUCAACCCUUCUUAAACUUGUAAAAUCUGAUAGGAUCAUGGCUGCAUGCCAUUCCACAUGGGCAACUAUAUUAGUUCCUAGGUUCUGUUCUGCUUCUGUUAUAUUUUCAGAGGCCAGAAAAUAAAAUCUAUUUGAUCUGCUCCUGAUUAUACUGCUGACAACUGAAGUUAAGUCUUUCUGGAAACUUGAGGUGGGAUUUCCAAGGAAGAGCCUUUUAAAGAGUAACAGGUGUGACUGUUUUUUUUUUUUGUUUUGUUCGGUUUUUUUUUGUUUUUUUGUUUUUUUUUGAGGUGAACUGAACAUUAUAAUGGAAUGCCUUGGUGGUUCUCACAGGGAAGUUCAGGGGGAAGGAAGGCUAGUAUGUAUCAGGGUUCUCAGAUCUUUCUGAUCUGGUGCUUAGACUUAUGAUUUGGGGUGACUGGAAUAUAUACUAACCUCUAGAGACUUUUUUUAUGUCAAUAACAUAUUCAGGCUUUCUGGGAACACUGUGAUUUGAUGAAUGUAUAACACACAGCCAUUUUUAAAAAAAAAAGCACUCCUUUAAACAGCAAUCUCCAGGUUCAGUACUUGAUUUAGCAAGUAUAAUUUACUCAUUUUAGUGCAAGGCACUAGAGAAUAUUUUGGAUUUCUCAGUUAAAUAUUUUCCCAUUUCCCCCUUGUGAAAUUUAAGCACCAGAUAUCACUUUAUAUUUUCUAUUCAUCAGACUGUAUUCAGCUAAUGUACUGCAAUCUCUUGCAGUUUUGAUGUCACCAAUAUAGGUUUAGUGUAGUCAUUAGCUGACAAUCAGGAAAGGGAAACACACAGUGGAGUUAAGACCUGCUUUGCAUUUUAACUCAACAGUAAAAGCACUAGAAGCUAUCAAAAGAAAACAAGAUGGCAAUGUAAUCUAUUUCGAUAGCUACUCCUUUAAAUAUGCAGUUAUAUUACCUCUCUAAUCCAUAUAAAAUAGCAUAAUUGCUUGAGAUGUGAUAUCUUAUUUAAGUUAUGUACUGCAGGGUUAACUCUGACUGCACAAAAUUGUUUCAGGUCCUAGAGUUCUUUUUGAUAAUGAACAACAGCAUUGCCAACCAGUUUACCAUUCUGUUGGUUAACCACAAUUUACCUUCUUUCCUCUCAUCAGCUGACAAUAUUUCUCCUCUUCCAACAUAUACAAACAUUGACUAAACCUACUCCCAAACAGAGAUAAUUCUGUGCUAAAGCAAGUCAGGGUCUGUCUAUAUAGUAUGCCAUCCUCUUUUUCUUGCCGUUUGGUUUCUUUAAACUAUUAUGAUCUUAGCAAAACAUCUCCUCUAUCUUGCUUGCUAAAUAUUUUAUGCUUCUAUAACUUUAGUUUCCUGAAAUAGUUUAAAUGGUUUGAUCUCUCUGAUUUUUGGGUGCUUCACAUACCACAUGCACAUUUGUAAAUGCAUGCAUCUUCCCACCCCUGAUGCAGAAGAACCCAAGAGCGAUCCACUGGAACAUUUACAUCAUCAUUAUUCUGGCCCAAUCGUUUGCAAUCUACGUGCCUAUUUAAAAGGCCCUAAUCCUGAAUGAGAUUCAUGUGGGCAGAUCCCUAUGCCUGCACACAGCCCUCUUGAUUUCCAUAUAGGAGCAGGGCAUCUACUGAUACUACUCUCAUUACUACAUUGAGGUCCAUGUGGGGAAAAUGAGAAAUAUUUAAGUUAAUCUGUAUUUAGGACCACACUUUUUCAGAUGUUAUCGGUCACCUUUUAAAUACACUCAGAAAAAUUGAAAAGAGAAAUUAAGAUUAAUAGUUAAUAUAUCUCGCAGUAGUCUUUUAUACUUAAAGCAGAAUUUUACAUCGAACUUUUUUGGUCUCCAAAUAAGAAGUCUCCACAAAAGCUGCAAGCUGAUCGAUUGGUUUUUUUUUUUUUUUUAAGGGGGAAAAAAUGCACACCCUAAGAAUGUUACUGAAAAGGACAGAAUCCUCAUUAGAAUAUCAUUGCAAAGCAAUCUCAAUGGGAAUUGUAUAUGCAUUGUUGUACUCUAAAAAUGUACUCCGGAAGUAUUUCUAAAAGCCUGCUGUCUAUAGCUUAAAUACUGCUGUAUUUUAGAGGGCUAUGCUAAAGUGCCCCUCUAGUCCAUAUUCUAGAUAUGUCUUGUCUACACUAACGGUGUUAAAGUAUUUUUGAAAAUGGCUUAUACCAUAUACAUACCAGUGCAUUUAUUGGUGUGUGAGGUACUCUGGGCAUGCCUGCAAGCAUUAGUUUUGGAUAUGCAAU